rnacentral:rRNA from 1 species
AGGGUUUGAUCAUGGCUCAGAACGUACGCUGGCGGCACGCCUAACACAUGCAAGUCGAACGAAGUAGUAAUACUUAGUGGCAGACGGGUGAGUAACAUGUAGGUAUCUGCCCUUUGGCCUGGAAUAACACGAGGAAACUUGUGCUAAUACCGGAUAAGUCUUUACGGAGAAAGCUUUAUGCACCAUUGGAUGAGCCUGCACUUGAUUAGUUUGUUGGUGGGGUAAUGGCCUACCAAGACUGUGAUCAAUAGCUGAUUUGAGAGGAUGAUCAGCCACAUUGGGACUGAGACACGGCCCAAACUCCUACGGGAGGCAGCAGUGGGGAAUCUUGCACAAUGGAGGAAACUCUGAUGCAGCGAUGCCGCGUGAGUGAAGAAGGCCCUUGGGUUGUAAAGCUCUUUCGUCGGGGAAGAAAAUGACUGUACCCGAAUAAGAAGGUCCGGCUAACUUCGUGCCAGCCGCCGCGGUAAUAC